rnacentral:rRNA from 1 species
UACCGAGGGUGCGAGCGUUAAUCGGAAUUACUGGGCGUAAAGCGCGCGUAGGUGGCUUGGCAAGUCGGGUGUGAAAUCCCCGGGCUCAACCUGGGAACUGCAUUCGAGACUGCCUUGCUCGAGUAUGGGAGAGGGAAGUGGAAUUUCCGGUGUAGCGGUGAAAUGCGUAGAUAUCGGAAGGAACAUCAGUGGCGAAGGCGACUUCCUGGACCAAUACUGACACUCAGGUGCGAAAGCGUGGGGAGCAAACAGG